AUAGACCAAGUGUUUCAUCCUCUCAACAUAGCCCAGCGCCCGACGAUAAAACCAGCUGCCAGAGACCACUGGGAGGCAGUGGACAGGACCGAGGGUGUGGGGAGUGGAGCAGGGCUCCUCGUAGGAUACACUAAGGGCUGCCCGGCCGUGAGUUUCACCCAGAUCUUCUUCUGGGGCUGUCUACGGUGUGACACAGCUGUCGGGACUACCGAGACCUCCCUAUGAGAGGACGCGGUCAUUUUUAGACAUAUCAGGCAACACCAGCCGCAUACUUCGCCAAGGACAAGGGAGGUCCUCUGCGCCCUCCGUGAAGGAGCUGUCGGCUCUCUAUCUCUCCCAGACAGCUGCUGCUGCUGACGCCGGCAGCCCCCCACAGCCGAGUACUGUGAAGGACAACUCCAUUCGCCCUCCCCACAGCCAGAGAAAAAGCAAGCCCAUGUUGAAAGAAGUGUGUGCCUCAUGCCUGCAGCCUGUCUACUCCAUGGAGCGUGUGGUCACUGAC
rnacentral:lncRNA from 1 species